rnacentral:lncRNA from 1 species
CCAUCUCCCCUGCCCCAAUCUGUCAAGUGCAAAUAUUGAAUUCACAAGUGAAAGUAGAAUUGCAAACAGAUUGUUCUCAGUGACAGUCUUCUAUGACAGACUUCCGAGGAAGUCUCAGAAAUACUUUAAGCUUCUGGGCCCAACAUCUAUUUAGAUUAAGUACAAACUAGGAACAUACUUCCCGGCUGGAGCUUGGAGCCUAUGACAGGAAACACAUCUGAAGACAGGUAUUUAUACCAGACAGAGUGACCACAAGUACUGGAAGAUUGAUUGGAAGGUGUGUAGCAAUGUUAGUCUUCAGGUGCCGGUGGUAAAUACGGUUACCUACACACAUCAUUUAAACAGCAAAUCAUUUUGCAUUGAUUAUUACUUGCUCAUUUCAAACUAAAGAGCCCAAGGAUUACCUAACUUGAGUUUUAGAAUAGUUUCAUAGCAAUAAAAAUAGUCAGAAUAGUAAGAAAAUAUUAGCCACUGGGUUUGGAUCCAUGUUUCCCCAGUUCUUCUUUUUACGAGACAAUAACCUAUGUAGCCAUUGUUUCUUCUAUGUAAUUGGUUGCUGUCCUGAUUUGAUAUACUGUCAUAAUGCACACAUAUCUCAAGGCUGUACAUAAAUAUUUAGUAGACUUGUCUGCUCAUAUUAGUCUUGUGUGGAAUUAAGAUGUAUUACUAAAUGUCUGCUCAUUAAAUAGUUGAACAGAUGCUUUGUGCUUUUUUUCCUACUUUCAUUGCUUAUUUCAUUAUAUGUUUCUCUCCACAGAAAGUGAGCAGAUAUACCUUUCUAUACAAGUAGAUGAUACAGGGGGGAAAGAAGAGAGUGAGUAUUUAAACCUGGCUGUCCUACUUGGAAAAUAAAAUUUGUGAAUUGUCCUGCAUAUCAAGUCAAAAACAUUUGUCCUUGCUGAGACUACAGCUGUGCAUGCCCCAUGUAGACCCACCACCGCAGAUGUUUCCUCAGGAGAAAAAGAAGUCAGCUACCCAGGAAGGGUGACCUCUGCCCUUCCCUGCCUCUUGCUGUCUGUCACCUUCACUGGGAACUCACUAAGCUUUGCUCUGCAGGAAGCACAAUUAAAUGCUAACAUCUCCAUUGCACUCCCAUCAGGCUCACUUUCCAGCUUGAUCUCUGACCUGUCUUGUCACCACAAACUUACCUGGUGAUCUGUUCUCCUGGCUGAGCCUGGCUGCCUUACUCUGGGUACUGUGGGACUGGGCUUCUGGCUCUCUGAUCAGCUGAACCUUGCUGUGCCCUGUUGUUUUGGAUGUCGUCUGUUUUCUCUCUGUAACAAUGGAAGGAGACAGGUAAGAGCUAUACAGAAAGCUUUCUAAUAGAAGCUUUAAUAAUUUCUUUUUUUUUCCUAGUAAAACUACGUGAAGGUUAGAUAGUUUCAGUUUAGUAUAUAUAUAAUUGAAAACAACAAAAACUGCUUCUUUUUUGUUCUAUCUUUUAGAGAUUUUUCUAUGUUCCACAAUAGAAUAAACCAGAAACUCUAGCAAUUCUUCUGGAUAAU